rnacentral:rRNA from 1 species
GGCUCAGGAUAAACGCUGGCGGCGUGCUUAACACAUGCAAGUCGAACGAUGAUCCUCAGCUUGCUGGGGGGAUUAGUGGCGAACGGGUGAGUAACACGUGAGUAACCUGCCCUUGACUCUGGGAUAAGCCUGGGAAACUGGGUCUAAUACCGGAUAUGACUCCUCAUCGCAUGGUGGGGGGUGGAAAGCUUUUUGUGGUUUUGGAUGGACUCGCGGCCUAUCAGCUUGUUGGUGGGGGAAUGGCCUACCAAGGCGACGACGGGUAGCCGGCCUGAGAGGGUGACCGGCCACACUGGGACAGAGACACGGCCCAGACUCCUACGGAAGGCAGCAGUGGGGAAUAUUGCACAAUGGGCGCAAGCCUGAUGCAGCGACGCCGCGUGAGGGAUGACGGCCUUCGGGUUGUAAACCUCUUUCAGUAGGGAAGAAGCGAAAGUGACGGUACCUGCAGAAGAAGCGCCGGCUAACUACGUGCCAGCAGCCGCGGUAAUACGUAGGGCGCAAGCGUUAUCCGGAAUUAUUGGGCGUAAAGAGCUCGUAGGCGGUUUGUCGCGUCUGCCGUGAAAGUCCGGGGCUCAACUCCGGAUCUGCGGUGGGUACGGGCAGACUAGAGUGAUGUAGGGGAGACUGGAAUUCCUGGUGUAGCGGUGAAAUGCGCAGAUAUCAGGAGGAACACCGAUGGCGAAGGCAGGUCUCUGGGCAUUAACUGACGCUGAGGAGCGAAAGCAUGGGGAGCGAACAAAAUUAGAUACCCUGGUAGUCCACGCCGUAAACGUUGGGCACUAGGUGUGGGGGACAUUCCACGUUUUCCGCGCCGUAGCUAACGCAUCAAGUGCCCCGCCUGGGGAGUACGGCCGCAAGGCUAAAACUCAAAGGAAUUGACGGGGGCCCGCACAAGCGGCGGAGCAUGCGGAUUAAUUCGAUGCAACGCGAAGAACCUUACCAAGGCUUGACAUGAACUAGUAAGGCGCAGAGAUGCGUCCCCCACUCUGUGGCUGGUUUACAGGUGGUGCAUGGUUGUCGUCAGCUCGUGUCGUGAGAUGUUGGGUUAAGUCCCGCAACGAGCGCAACCCUCGUUCUAUGUUGCCAGCACGUGAUGGUGGGGACUCAUAGGAGACUGCCGGGGUCAACUCGGAGGAAGGUGGGGACGACGUCAAAUCAUCAUGCCCCUCAUGUCUUAGGCUUCACGCAUGCUACAAUGGCCGGUACAAAGGGCUGCGAUACUGUGAGGAGGAGCUAAUCCCAAAAAGCCGGUCUCAGUUCGGAGUGGGGUCUGCAACUCGACCCCACGAAGUCGGAGUCGCUAGUAAUCGCAGAUCAGCAACGGUGCG